UACAGGGGGUGCAAACGUUGCUCGGAAUCACUGGGCGUAAAGGGUGCGUAGGCGGGUCUUUUAAGUCAGGGGUGAAAUCCUGGAGCUCAACUCCAGAACUGCCUUUGAUACUGAGGAUCUUGAGUUCGGGAGAGGUGAGUGGAACUGCGAGUGUAGAGGUGAAAUUCGUAGAUAUUCGCAAGAACACCAGUGGCGAAGGCGGCUCACUGGCCCGAUACUGACGCUGAGGCACGGAAAGCGUGGGGAGCAAACAGG
rnacentral:rRNA from 1 species